rnacentral:rRNA from 1 species
AGCAGUAGCCACGGGAAUACGAAGGGUGCAAGCGUUAAUCGGAAUUACUGGGCGUAAAGCGUGCGUAGGCGGUGAGUUAAGUCUGCUGUGAAAUCCCCGGGCUCAACCUGGGAAUGGCAGUGGAUACUGGCUCGCUAGAGUGUGUCAGAAGAUGGUGGAAUUCCCGGUGUAGCGGUGAAAUGCGUAGAGAUCGGGAGGAACAUCAGUGGCGAAGGCGGCCAUCUGGGACAACACUGACGCUGAGGCACGAAAGCGUGGGGAGCAAACAGGAUUAGAUACCCCAGUAGUCCCUGUCUCUUAUAC